GUUUUGCUUCUGGAAAAUAAGAUUCAGGACCCUGCCCAGUUUCCACUCAUCCUUUAUAGGGGGAUGUUCGUGAUCACCACCCUGUGCAUAAGCCUCAGGCCUUGGCUACCUCAAGUUUGGGGUCACCACCCAGGCAAGCAUCACCCUCAACCUCCCCAACUGUUGAGUCGAGCACAUGAGGUGGACACAGAGGGAGCGGCUGUUGUGAAAUGAGAUGGCUGGAGAUUGGACUUGCCAUACGAUGGGCUUUGAAUCCCCUGCUCAAGCUUAGAACUCUUUCUUGUCUUCCAGAGGCUACUGGUAUCUGUAGAUGGAUCUUUCUGAUUCCCUUGGUCGUCCGCAGUUUGAACCAGUCUGUCAAGCUCCUCUCCUUGGGCCGUAUGUGCCUCUCCUACCCCUGCAAUUCCACGUCCCCUUGGAGAUCAUCACACCAUUCACCAUGUCCCGGGUGCUGAAGCGCCGGCCUUCGUGGUAAACCUGGACGUCCACCCUGCCAUGGUCUGUCUGACCAUGAGUAAAAGGCAAGCAGCCUUGCUUCUCUCCUGCCCCUCCACCAAACCCCAGAAGUUUCCAGGAGUCAGGCCGCCAGGACCUCCCUAGCGCAAUGCAAAGUUCCAGGCACAGUAGAUGUUUGUGGAAUUAAGGUGAACCUAAGUGGGACUCAUCCGUUAGGUUCUUUGGUGGCAAGCAAGAGAAUACAACUCUGGCCAAGAAGCUAAAACAAAGGGAAUUGGGGGUUCCUAACAGAGUCGAAGGAAGAGCUAAAGAAGCAGAUGUCGAAAAAGACCAAAACCGGGCAAAGCCUGAGAUUGGAGUCAGAGGAAUUAAGAGACUCUGCCUCUGAGAUAAAUUUCUUCCAGCUGUCUUCCAUCCUUGGGCUCUCUGCUCAAGAUGCAAAUUCUAUGGAGAGAGAGUCCAAUCACACAUGCCCAUCCAGUGGGCAAGGAAUGGUGGGGAAUUCUGAUUGACAAUGCCACCAAGAACGCCAUGCAGUGAGAGAGGGAUGAUACCUCAAGUCAAACAUGGGGUUCUGCACCAAAAGAAGGGGGAAUCAAUGGUGGGGAUGUUAAUAGCAGCAGUCUACUUUGUGUGGACAUCACCAUCCAGAUGACAGAUGUCACCAGGUAAGGGUAGCUGUGAGAAACAGGGAAGAGUCAGAUAUGACAUUAGCCAACUUAGAGAAAUGGUCACAGCAUCUUGAAGUACUAAAAACAGCGAAAGUUGUAGAUCAGGAGGAAACUAAGUUCAACACCCAGCUCUCUAUUUUUAAAAGGCUUAAUCUGAGAACCUGAACAAUGAUCCCUGAGCUUCCUGGAAUUGUGUGCAAACACGGUAUGCAAAGGCAUGCGUUAUUGUUGGUUUGUUGUGGUUGCCAUUGUUUUGGGGUGUUUUUUUGCAAGGAGAAUCCCUAGUUCCCACCGACUUGUGAAAGUGGUCUGUAAAACAUUAUGAGUCUGUUAACAAGGAGGCUGCCCUCUCUCAGACAGGCCCCAGUCAGAAUCUCCCUCAUCGGAGCUGUGGGGCGCCAUCUUGGUUGCUAUUUCUACCAGGCACAUGGAUGAGGAUGGAAAUAGCCCCACUUUCUCAAUUUGAAAAAUGAGAGUCCAGAGGAAACCGUCUCAGGCAUUUUCAGUUUAGAUGGUGAUUAUGGAUUCUUUCUCCUUGGAAAUUCCCAGGAUCUCCACAAUCUGCUCAGAACUAGGUAAAAAAUGUGGUUUUCUCUCACAGCCUACCAUGAGCGAUUUGAGCAGGGGCCAUGGCCACAAAAGGGUGCACAGUUCAGUCUAAAGUUCCCCAUCUCCAGGGAGCGAGGGCCCAGGGUAGGCACAUUUCCAAAUUUACAAGAAGCCAGAAAACUUGAUUUUAUGUAUAUGUAUGUAACUUUUCCAAUUUUUAAAUAGUUGUAGCUAAUUCAAAUUGUUUUUUUUUUUAAGAUGUGGCCCUCAGGUGGCCAAUUUGCAACUAGGAUCUAGAUUUCAUUCCCAAGGUAUUUAUGAGGGCUUCUGAGCCUCUCUCUCUCUCCUCUCUCAUAUACCCAAAUGCACACAUCCUCACUCUUAUUUAAAGAAAAUGAGAUUGCUUGAUAAAAGAGGUUUCCUUCUGUUUCUUCUGGCUUUGUAUUCUUUGUUGGAAGAUCUUCAGUUUCCCCAGUAAGGUGGUUUUAAGUCUAUAAAUGGCAAGAGUGGAACUGCUUAUAUUGUGAGGUUGGAAUAAGCAUUAAUGAAUGAGAUGUUGAGGGGGACAUAUUUUAAGCUCAGUAGAACAGAGAACUGCCUUCUGCUGGAUGAGAAGGGAAUAGUGAAUGCCCCAUCUCUGAAAGUAUUUAAGCAGAGGUAGGUCAACCACUCAUCAAGGGAGGAGUAGUUCUGCUAUAUGGCUUAUGAGAGGUUCCUUCCAAGUCUGAGAGUCCCUUUAUUUACCUAAUAAAUCAGUAAAAAAAAAAAAAAAUUUGGUGAUUAAAUUACUGAAUCUAAAGGAUGAUGUUUUUGUAGCCAUUGUCUGAGGCAUUGUAAAUAGUAGAUUGUGGAUGUCAUGAAACAUAUCUGUGUGGCCUGAAUACGUUUACUCUGGAUGCGUAGACUGUUUUCUACACCUUGUCUGACUGAAAUACAUAACCCGCAGAUUUCUCUUCCUCCAUUGUUUCUUACUGACUCACCUCUAAAAUUUAUGAACUCAGUUGGAGGUACACUGAGUCAAACCUCUCCAGCAAGUAACCAGUAAUUCAUGGAGCAUCAGAUAAGGGAGCUGAGGGCCAGAGACCAGAGGCUGCAUGUUGGGUUACCCAGAGAUUGAGUUUCAGAGCCAGGACUAGAACAUAGGUCUCCUGAUCUCUGAGCUAGGGGCUAUCAUGUCAUGCAGGUUACACUAGGAGGGUUUCUGUAGUAUAAAAACAUUUCACAAAUUUAUGUAGAACUUCAGAAAUUAAGACAUUUACCAUGACUGGGGUAAGGUUGUUCUUAACAUUCCCUUAUUAUCCUUUUAAUGUCAGUAGGAUCUGUAGCGAUGUCCCAUCUUUCAUUUCUGUUAUUGGUGAUCUAUGUCUUCUUCCUUUUUUUCUUGAUCAGUGUAGGAAGAGCUUUAUCGAUUUUAUUGAUCUUUCCAAGCAAAUAGCUUUUGGUUUUAUUGAUCGUUUUUCUGUUUUCAAUUUCCUGGAUUUCUCCUGUUAUGUGUGUUAUUUCUUCACUUCAGCUUGCUUUGGGUUAAAUUUUUAUUUCUAGUUUCUUGACAUGGGAGCUUAGAUCAUUGAUUAGCAUAAGCAUUUAAUGCUAUAAAAUUUCCUUUAAGCCUGCAUUAAUACAGUAUUCACUAACCACAUGUAGUUAUUAAGUCACUUGAAAUGUGACUAGUCUGAAUUGAGAUGUGCCAUAGUGUAAAAUAAACACCAGAUCUUGAGAAUCUAGUAUAAAAAGUGUAAAAUAUACCAUUAAUAAUUUUUAUAUUAUUACACGUUGAAAUAGUA
ensembl:lncRNA